rnacentral:sRNA from 1 species
AGCUACGGGUCAGAGCUAGUCCACUAGGUGCUAAUCAAAUGCUGUGUUACAACACUGUGAGGUUUUCCCAGUUAUAAGUGUCACUAUUAGGGUUUUUUUUAAUUGCAAAGCCAAAUAAGGCUGUCAAUUGCAUCAUCUUACCUUAUUUCUUCAGAUUAAGUACUGUUUAUAGUGGGAUUUUUGGUGGAUGUGGUGGCAUCAGCAUAAUCUAUGUUUCAGGCGUCCUAUAGAAGAGGAUUAUUCUUCAGGGGAUGUGGAAGAAAAGGCACAGUCUCGCUCUGUCAUCCAGGCUGGAGUGCGGUGGCAUGAUCUCAGCUCACUGCAGCCUCCACCUCCUGGGUUCAAGAAAUUCUCAUGCCUCAGCCUCAUGAGUAGCUGGGAUUACAGGAAAAUACUGAAUGAACUGUCCUCUGAUGUGCCUGGUGUUCCCAAGAUUGAAGAAGAGAGAUCAGAGGAAGAAGGAACACCACCUAGUAUUGCUACCAUGGCAGUACCAACUAGCAUAUAUCAGACUAGCACGGGGCAAUACAGUAUGUAUGCUGCAAUUCGAUAUGAUACAGUGCUAGCUUUAAGUCUUCUCUAGUUAUAUUGAAGCAACUCAGGUUUUGGCAUUAAAUUGUUCCAUUUUAAAAUGCAUCAUUAAUACCUAAACUGUAUCAUAGAAUGAAAGUAUAUGUUAAAAAGUGAGAUCUUUGUAUUGACAGCUGUCAUAUAAUUUUGAAAAGUAAAAAUUUUGACUGCCGAAUAUAGAAGAAAAUUUUGGGGUAAAAAGGAGAAUUUUUCCUAUUUACAUGUUUAUAUUAAUCUCUAGUAAAACAUUGUUUUUGUUGUCUUUAUGA